GGAGCUUGCUCCACCGAAGGAAAAGGAGUGGGGAAUGGGUGAGUAACACGUGGGUAACCUGCCCAUCAGAAGGGGAUAACACUUGGAAACAGGUGCUAAUACCGUAUAACAAUAGAAACCGCAUGGUUUCUAUUUGAAAGGCGCUUUUGCGUCACUGAUGGAUGGACCCGCGGUGCAUUAGCUAGUUGGUGAGGUAACGGCUCACCAAGGCAACGAUGCAUAGCCGACCUGAGAGGGUGAUCGGCCACAUUGGGACUGAGACACGGCCCAAACUCCUACGGGAGGCAGCAGUAGGGAAUCUUCGGCAAUGGACGAAAGUCUGACCGAGCAACGCCGCGUGAGUGAAGAAGGUUUUCGGAUCGUAAAACUCUGUUGUUAGAGAAGAACAAGGAUGAGAGUAGAAUGUUCAUCCCUUGACGGUAUCUAACCAGAAAGCCACGGCUAACUACGUGCCAGCAGCCGCGGUAAUACGUAGGUGGCAAGCGUUGUCCGGAUUUAUUGGGCGUAAAGCGAGCGCAGGCGGUUUCUUAAGUCUGAUGUGAAAGCCCCCGGCUCAACCGGGGAGGGUCAUUGGAAACUGGGAAACUUGAGUGCAGAAGA
rnacentral:rRNA from 1 species